AAAGAAUUUGAUAUAGCCUAAAGACAUCAACAAAUUCCUUGCAAUUGCAGAGGCUGAGAGACAAACAAUUAACGUUGUGGGUAGAAAAAGUCAAGUGAAAUAAAUUAAUAUGGGACGCAAGCAAAUUUGUGUUUAGGGCUUGUAUUUAGUUUUAUAUGAAAAUUUUAGGUGUAGGACAUCUAGUGGACGAUUAGUGUGUCUGGAUAGGUAUCAUUUGGCAUGACAAUAAUAUAAUAAGAACCAACUUUGUGGUGCUCCUCGCAUUGCUGGUUUUGGUACGAAGAGCAGAAAAUUUUAGACUCUUUUCAGUUCUUUUGAGGCUAAUUAGCAAGGAAAAAAAAUUAGUGUCUUAAAUAGAAGAUUCUGGAGUUUGAUGAGCUCAAAGUGUGGAUGAAAUUUGGGUAUCUUGCAAAAUUAGAAGCCCGAAAGCAUAUGCUUGUAUAAUGAACUCAAUGUGUGAAAAGUAUGUCUUGCAAAAUUAGAACUCUGAAAG
rnacentral:misc_RNA from 1 species